UUAAACAAAAAAGAAAAACAAAACUCCGACUAUGAAAUCAGAGGGAUCUGAUUUCAAUCUUUCGAAGAGUCCAUAGACUCCGACUCGCCGACUCAGUGUGGUUCACCGUUCACUCCCUCACCACCUCUCUCUUUUUCCGGCGACCCCUGUUCUCUACGAACUUCUCUCCGUCCGUGAAAGAUCGGCGUCCGAUUCAAGCAUUUUCUUCCUCAAAUGAGCAUCGUCGGAUCUUGUAUCUCACUUGCAGCGAUUUGUGCAUAGCUUGACCUCCAUGGCGUCGAUUUCAAGUGGUAUGAUGGAUUCUUCUUGUCGAUGCUCGCGACUAUUGUGCAUCCUUUAUUAGGGUUUCGAUUUCAAUAUCUGGAAUUCGUUUCUGCUUCAUCUCAUGGCUUCGAUUCUAAAUUUCUGUUAGUUCCUGGUUCGUAAUGUAUGUCAGGCUUUGAGAAAUUGUUACUGUGCCUAAAUUUGUUUCGUUCUUAUCUCCAUUUUCUUGCUUUAUAAAUGCAGAUAAGAAUUGGAAAAAUCUGUAACUAUAGGAUUAGAGACUGUUUGUUUGGUUGUAAUUUUGGCUACGUUUUCUGUGUAGAGUUUUGUUCCUUUUCUUUGGUGCCUUUGGUGGGUUUAUUCUUAUUUUGUAGAGAUUAUGAAAAUUUAGUUUUGGUUUCUUCAAUUUCUUCUUGAAGAUGAUUGAAAAGUUGCAAUUUUACUAUUGUACUUUAUUGCCCUACAAUUGGGAUUGGUUUGGCUCGGUAGUUCUUUUGGUUUGCAGUGUGGCUCCUAUGAUGGAAUGGACUGAUGUUCACUACAGGACUAUGGCCCGCCUCAUAUCCAAGCAUGCCUGGCUCUACACUGAGAUGCUUGCUGCCGAAACCAUUGUCUAUCAGAAGGACAAUCUGAUUCUUGUACUUUCCUUCAGAACAGCAUCCUAUUGUUCUAGAAAUUGGUGGCAGUAAUUCAGAAAACCUGGCAAAAGCUACUCAACUUGCUAAUAUUUACAAAUAUGAUGGGAUCAAUUUUAAAUACGAGUACUUUUAUGGCCUCUUGCGUGACUUAAACACUAUUGAUGAGGUCAAUGCAGCUAGGAAAGCAGGAGCUCAUGGUGUAAUGGUUAAUCUGCUCUAUGAUAUACGAUUUCUUUAUGGGAAAUGGUUGGCAUGUGACAUCAUAUCAAGCUAUCAUCAGCCCCUUCAAGUACGCAUGUAAUCAAUCUAAAGACAAUUCUAAUCUUGCUAGCAUGUUCUAUAUUUGAAAACUAUUUUAAUUAAUUAUACUAUGAUUUUGUAAUAUGAAGUUAUUUAAUUGAUAUAAUUUACUAUAUGAAUGCUUUUGUUUACUA